rnacentral:tRNA from 1 species
GCGCCCGUAGCUCAGUGGAUUGAGAGCAACGGACUUCGGAUCCGUAGGUCGGAGGUUCGAAUCCUUCCGGGCGCGCCA